AUUGAACGCUGGCGGAAUGCUUUACACAUGCAAGUCGAACGGUAGAGGGGGCAACCCCUCGAGAGUGGCGAACGGGUGAGUAAUAUAUCGGAACGUGCCCAGUCGUGGGGGAUAACAUAGCGAAAGUUACGCUAAUACCGCAUACGAUCUAAGGAUGAAAGCGGGGGACAGUAAGGCCUCGCGCGAUUGGAGCGGCCGAUAUCAGAUUAGGUAGUUGGUGAGGUAAAGGCUCACCAAGCCAACGAUCUGUAGCUGGUCUGAGAGGACGACCAGCCACACUGGAACUGAGACACGGUCCAGACUCCUACGGGAGGCAGCAGUGGGGAAUUUUGGACAAUGGACGCAAGUCUGAUCCAGCCAUUCCGCGUGCAGGAUGAAGGCCCUCGGGUUGUAAACUGCUUUUGUACGGAACGAAAAGGUCUCUCCUAAUACGAGGGGCUCAUGACGGUACCGUAAGAAUAAGCACCGGCUAACUACGUGCCAGCCGCCGCGGUAA
rnacentral:rRNA from 1 species